rnacentral:rRNA from 1 species
UACGUAGGGUGCAAGCGUUGUCCGGAAUUAUUGGGCGUAAAGAGCUUGUAGGCGGUUUGUCGCGUCUGCUGUGAAAUUUCGGGGCUCAACCCCGAACUUGCAGUGGGUACGGGCAGACUAGAGUGUGGUAGGGGAGACUGGAAUUCCUGGUGUAGCGGUGAAAUGCGCAGAUAUCAGGAGGAACACCUGUGGCGAAGGCGUCCAUCUGGCCCGUUACUGACGCUGAUGCGCGAAAGCUAGGGGAGCAAACGGG